GGAAUUCGCCCUUAGAGUUUGAUCCUGGCUCAGGAUGAACGUUGGCGACGUGCUUCAUACAUGCAAGUCGAACGAGAAAGCCCCUUCGGGGGUGAUUAAAGUGGCAUACGGGUGAGUAACGCGUAGGUAAUCUGCCCUGAGGUGGGGAAUAACUGAUCGAAAGAUCAGCUAAUACCGCAUAAUAUCUUUUUAUUUACAUAUAGGAAGAUUAAAGAUUUAUCGCCUUUGGAUGAGCCUGCGUCCGAUUAGCUUGUUGGUGGGGUAAAGGCUCACCAAGGCUGUGAUCGGUAGCUGGUCUGAGAGGAUGAUCAGCCACACUGGGACUGAGACACGGCCCAGACUUCUACGGAAGGCAGCAGUAGGGAAUAUUGCACAAUGGGGGAAACCCUGAUGCAGCGACGUCGCGUGAGUGAUGAAGGCCUUCGGGUUGUAAAGCUCUGUUCUUAAGGAACAAAAAAAUGAGGGUACUUAAGAAGAAAGGACCGGCUAAUUUCGUGCCAGCAGCCGCGGUAAUACGAGGGGUUCAAACGUUAUCCGGAAUUAUUGGGCGUAAAGCGGAUGUAGGUGGCUUUGUCAGUCAGAAGUGAAAGCCUCGGGCUUAACCCGAGAAGUGCUUUUGAUACUACAAGGCUUGAGUUAGGGAGAGGAUAGUAGAAUUCCUGGUGUAGUGGUG
rnacentral:rRNA from 1 species